UACGUAGGGUGCGAGCGUUAAUCGGAAUUACUGGGCGUAAAGCGUGCGCAGGCGGUGAUGUAAGACAGAUGUGAAAUCCCCGGGCUCAACCUGGGAACUGCAUUUGUGACUGCAUCGCUGGAGUGCGGCAGAGGGGGAUGGAAUUCCGCGUGUAGCAGUGAAAUGCGUAGAUAUCUGGAGGAACACCGGUGGCGAAGGCGGCAUCCUGGACCGGCAUUGACGCUGAGGAGCGAAAGCCAGGGGAGCAAACGGG
rnacentral:rRNA from 1 species